UAUAGUCCUGACAGUUGAACACUGGAUGACUGACAGCUGUCCUUCAUCACAACAGAAAUCCUCGUCCUCAUCAUCAAAAACAUGACUUUGAUCUGCAUCCUCAUCUGGACUCUUCUCCUCUGCUGCUGCUUCACAGAGUCCAGAGGACAGGUCACAGUGACUCAGCCUGCAGCAGUGACCUCUGCUCUGGGAGCCUCCGUCUCCAUCUCAUGUAGAACCAGUCAGAAUGUUUAUGUCUGGAGCAGCUACCACUACUUAGCCUGGUACCAACAGAAAGAUGGAGGAACUCCUAAACUGCUUAUAUACGCUGCUAGCACUCGAGUAUCAGGGAUUCCAGAUCGUUUUUCAGGCAGUGGAUCAAACUCUGCCUUCACUCUGACCAUCAGUGGAGUCCAGACUGAAGAUGCAGCAGUUUACUACUGUCAGAGUUUACACUAUAUCAACAGUCAGAAUGUGUUCACACAGUGAAAAAGCGUCGUACAAAAACCUCCCUCAGUCAAACUGAACAGAAACUGAACUGACUGCUGCAGCUGGAAGUUUCUGCAGAGACUGACACACUUCACUGAGGACACACACACACACAGACAUUAACACACACACACACACAGACGCACACACACACUCACACUCACACACACACACACACACACACACACACACACACACACACACACACACACACACUGUAACUUUCACAGGGGGACAAUUAAAAUCGGCUCCUGUUCAGAUGACAUCCUUAUCUGCAACACGUCCUCCUCAUCCUCUUCUCCUUCAGACCCUAAUCUGAUCAAUAAUCAGAUCAGACGUUCUGCUUUCACUCCUCUUUUAUUGAACAGACUGUUUAAUCAACACCUGCAGUUCACAGAAGAACACCACUUCCAUCAAUGAAGAGAAUAAACACAGCAUCUUUUAAAUAUCAAACAUUUUCAGCCCACUUCUCCCCCUUCUUUCCUCACCGUGAUGGUGACGUAUCAUUGCCGUCUUGGUUAGGACACAUUAGUUGCAUAUUACUGCCACCUUGUGGUUGUGGGCUGUUGAUUGAGAAAUUCAUCAAAUAGGAUCAAAGGAGAGAAAUAUGUUGAAUGAUAAACAGUAUCAAGAUGAAAUCAAACUCUCUCUAUGUGAUCUGUUCAUGUUAGAUAUUAAAACAGUUAUGUCACACA